UCCCUGAUAGCUCAGAUGGUAAAGAAUCUGCCUGCAAUGCAGAAGACUUGUGUUCGAUCCCUGGGUCAGGGAU
rnacentral:tRNA from 1 species